rnacentral:rRNA from 1 species
GAUGAACGCUGGCGGCGUGCCUAACACAUGCAAGUCGAGCGAUCUUCUUCGGAAGAGAGCGGCGGACGGGUGAGUAACGCGUGGGUAACCUGCCCUGUACACACGGAUAACAUACCGAAAGGUAUGCUAAUACGAGAUAAUAUACUUUUAUCACAUGGUGGAAGUAUCAAAGCUUUUGCGGUACAGGAUGGACCCGCGUCUGAUUAGCUAGUUGGUAAGGUAAUGGCUUACCAAGGCGACGAUCAGUAGCCGACCUGAGAGGGUGAUCGGCCACAUUGGAACUGAGACACGGUCCAAACUCCUAUGGGAGGCAGCAGUGGGGAAUAUUGCACAAUGGGCGAAAGCCUGAUGCUGCAACGCCGCGUGAGCGAUGAAGGCCUUCGGGUCGUAAAGCUCUGUCCUCAAGGAAGAUAAUGACGGUACUUGAGGAGGAAGCCCCGGCUAACUACGUGCCAGCCGCCGCCGUAA